rnacentral:rRNA from 1 species
UAGGGAAUCUUCCACAAUGGACGAAAGUACUGAUGGAGCAACGCCGCGUGAGUGAAGAAGGGUUUCGGCUCGUAAAACUCUGUUGUUAAAGAAGAGCAUAUCUGAGAGUAACUGUUCAGGUAUUGACGGUAUUUAACCAGAAAGCCACGGCUAACUACGUGCCAC